UACGUAGGGUGCGAGCGUUGUCCGGAAUUACUGGGCGUAAAGAGUUCGUAGGCGGUUUGUCGCGUCGUUCGUGAAAACUUGGGGCUUAACUCCAAGCGUGCGGGCGAUACGGGCAGACUUGAGUACUACAGGGGAGACUGGAAUUCCUGGUGUAGCGGUGAAAUGCGCAGAUAUCAGGAGGAACACCGGUGGCGAAGGCGGGUCUCUGGGCCGAUACUGACGCUGAGGAGCGAAAGCAUGGGUAGCGAACAGG
rnacentral:rRNA from 1 species